rnacentral:rRNA from 1 species
KSCCUUAGAGUUUGAUCCUGGYUCMKAACGAACGCUGGCGGCGUGCUUAACACAUGCAAGUCGAACGUGAUCCGGAGCUUGCUCCGGUGAAAGUGGCSCACGGGUGAGUAACGCGUGGAUAAUCUGCCCUGGUAUCKGGGAUAACMUCUSGRGAGGGGUGCUAAUACCGGAUAAGCCUACGGACUCUUCGGAGUCUGCAGGAAAAGGUGGCCUCUAUUUAUAAGCUAMCGUAUCASGAUGAGUCCGCGUACCRUUAGCUAGUUGGUGGGGUAAUGGCCCACCAAGGCUACKAUGGGUAGCUGGUCUGAGAGGAUGAUCAGCCMCACUGGAACUGAGACACGGUCCARACUCCUACGGGAGGCAGCAGUGGGGAAUUUUGCGCAAUGGGCGAAAGCCUGACGCAGCAAUGCCGCGUGAGUGAUGAAGGCCUUCGGGUCGUAAAGCUCUGUCAGAGGGGAAGAAACUCCUGUCGGUUAAUACCCGGCGGGCCUGACGGUACCCUCAAAGGAAGCACCGGCUAACUCCGUGCCAGCAGCCGCGGUAAUAC